rnacentral:rRNA from 1 species
GACGAACGCUGGCGGCGUGCUUAACACAUGCAAGUCGAACGGAAAGGCCCUGCUUUUGUGGGGUGCUCGAGUGGCGAACGGGUGAGUAACACGUGAGUAACCUGCCCUUGACUUUGGGAUAACUUCAGGAAACUGGGGCUAAUACCGGAUAGGAGCUCCUGCUGCAUGGUGGGGGUUGGAAAGUUUCGGCGGUUGGGGAUGGACUCGCGGCUUAUCAGCUUGUUGGUGGGGUAGUGGCUUACCAAGGCUUUGACGGGUAGCCGGCCUGAGAGGGUGACCGUCCACAUUGGUACUGAGAUCCGGCCCAGACUGCUCCGGGAGGGAUCUGUGGGGAAUGUUGCGCAAUGGACGGAAGCCUGAUGCAGCAACGCCGCGGGCGGGAUGACGGCCUUUGGGUUGUACACCGCUUUCGCCUGUAACGAGGCGUGAGUGACGGUAAUGGGUACAGAAGCACCGGCUAACUACGUG